GUUGCAACUAAGGGUUUGAUGUUGUUUCUCCAUGUCAAAAUGUAUUAAUUGGUUGCUAUAUGAAACAUGUCUAUUUUUUUCCUCUAAUUAUUUCUAUUUUAACUAAUAUCUUACUCAUUUUUAAAGUACAUGAUGAUUUGUUGUUGACUUGCAUACAAAAGAAGAGAAGUUUAUUUACUAUGUGUAGUUCUUGUUUGUGUGAACUCUUAAUCAUUUUCUAUUUAUUUCAGGUUCUUCAUAACAUUGUUGUUGCAAAAUACUUUCACUGGAAUAUGCUACGUGAUUCAAUAACUCCUAUUUUUCCACUGGACUGUUAAUCUCUUUUUGAUUUUGUGGAUAACUUUGCUGCAAACUAUGCUCUGAAGAGAGUUUAUUAUGUCAACUAUGCAUUGGGGAUAUCUAGACGCAGGAAACCUUGCUGGCAUCUAUUAUGAACAAAGUCAACUUGACAUGGCAAUUCUGCAUUACAAGUAAGCUAUCAACUGUGAUUCUACCUUUAUUGAAGCUUACAAUAAUCUGGGGAAUGCUCUCAAAGACGCUGGACAUGUGGAAGAGGCUAUCAACUUCUAUAGGGGAACUUAUGCAGAAGCAAUAGCCUGUUACAAUGAAGUUCUUCGCAGACUGCUGCUGAUGGUCUUGUCAAUAGAGGGAACACAUUUAAGGAGAUUGGUAGAGUUACUGAAG